rnacentral:rRNA from 1 species
UAUCUCUGUAGAGUCUGCAUAUCAAUAAGCGGAGGAAAAGAAACUAACUAGGAUUCCCUCAGUAACGGCGAGUGAAGCGGGAAGAGCUCAAAUUUGAAAUCUUCAAGGUUCUACCUUGACGAAUUGUAGUUUAAAGAAGUGUCUUCUGUUGGUGUUUUGGUAAAAGUUCUUUGGAAUAGGACAUCAUAGAGGGUGAGAAUCCCGUAUUUGACCAUUACUUUCCAGCUUUGUGAUACACUUUCAAAGAGUCGGAUUGUUUGGGAAUGCAGUCCAAAAUGGGUGGUAAAUUUCAUCUAAAGCUAAAUAUUGGCGAGAGACCGAUAGCGAAGCAAGUACCGUGAGGGAAAGAUGAAAAGAACUUUGAAAAGAGAGUUAAACAGUACGUGAAAUUGUCUAAAAGGGAAGCGUUUGACACCAGUGUUGUUUUCUCGAAAAUCAAUUAAAAAAGGCAGGAUUUUGUGUUGUAUUGACUUUAUCAGCUUUCUGCACUCUUUUCUUGUCUUUUUUAAUGCACUUUUCGUUUAACAAGUCAACAUCAAUUUCUUUUGUUGUAAAAGGGUCAUUGGAAGGUGGCUUUCUUUUCGGAGAAAGUGUUUAUAGCCUUUGGCCUCUGCAAUCGGAGAGAUUGAGGUCUGCAGCGUAGAUCCUUCGGGGUUAGAUACAUUUGUGCUAAGUUAUAGCCUUUCAUAGACAACUUGUUGACUAUGAUCAGUCAUGUAGCUUACUCGCUUAUGCUAUUUUACCUACGCUUAGGAUGUUGACGAUCAGCUGAGCGCG